UGAGGAAUAUUGGUCAAUGGGCGAGAGCCUGAACCAGCCAAGUAGCGUGCAGGAUGACGGCCCUAUGGGUUGUAAACUGCUUUUACGCGGGGAUAAAGUGCGUGACGUGUCGCGCAUCGCAGGUACCGCGUGAAUAAGGACCGGCUAAUUCCGUGCCAGCAGCCGCGGUAAUACGGAAGGUCCGGGCGUUAUCCGGAUUUAUUGGGUUUAAAGGGAGCGCAGGCCGCCCGAUAAGCGUGUUGUGAAAUGUACCGGCUCAACCGGUGAGUUGCAGCGCGAACUGUCAGGCUUGAGUGCACGGUAAGCAGGCGGAAUUCAUGGUGUAGCGGUGAAAUGCUUAGAUAUCAUGAGGAACUCCGAUUGCGAAGGCAGCUUGCUGCAGUGCGACUGACGCUUAGGCUCGAAGGUGCGGGUAUCAAACAGG
rnacentral:rRNA from 1 species